GAAUUACAACAAUGUGAUAUUUCUGUGUUAUAGAGGUUAUAAAAGGAAGGUGGAAGAACAGUUAGUGAGCGCGCUCGGAGGAUUUUUUCUACUGUUGUGGAGGAAAGGUUGGUCACAGUGGUUGUGUGGUUUGUGAAAUCCCUGAGCAGGGCUUGGUUUAAUUUAGGAAGCACUCCAUCAGGAGGAGCAAAUACAAAACUUAAUAGUGAUUAAUGUACAAUUGCAACAAGUUGCAUUUUUCUGUGCAGUGUUCCUGCUCAGAUAAACAUGAUGCAUAUAUAGUGUACAUGUUCUGCAGGCAAACUUAACAUGUCUAAGUGUUUUAUAAAAAUCUGAAGCCUGCCAGUGAAAGCGUGUGUGUGUGUGUGUGUGUGUGUGUGUGUGUGUGUGUGUGUACAUCAUGUGAGCGGAGCAUUAUUAGGCCUUUCUGGGGAGUUAUCCAUUAAUUCGGGGUUAAAGUCCAUUUGCAUCUAGACAAAAGGGACAUGGACCAUCCAUCUCCACGCUGAGGGGAAGGGGCUAACCGAGGGAGGGAAAGGGGGAGGAGGGAUGUGUGUGCAUGUGUGUGUGUGUGUGUGUGUGUGUGUGUGUGUGUGUGAGAGAGGGAGGUGAACCAUCCUCUUGCAGAUAAAUCUGUUGCCCUCAGGGGUGCGUUUACAUAGGUGAGGACUGACUGUUCUGCAAGCUGAGAGUGAUUUAUCUGAAAAUACCACCAGUAACCACACACACACACACACACACACACACACACACACACACCUAUAGCAAGCUCUCAAUCAAUUCCUUCACUAUGGAUGAAGCGAUGAAGCACCCCUUUUCUCUUCCAGUGUAUGUGUGUGCGUGUGUGCAAAUUAAGCUUGCACAUAUGCAUGUAAACACUAAUAUACACAAAAACAGAGGAGCAUAAUACACACACACCUACACACUGCUGAACAAAUGCAUACCUUAUACUUUAAAAAACAAAAAGAGAAAAAAGACCAAAAUCUAUAUUUGAAAUAGGAUAAAAGUUGAUUUCGUUUUGCAGAGGAUUUUUUUUUUUUUUUUUUUUGCUGCAGCUGCGAUCUCAUCCUGCUUGUAGAUCCUCCCUUACACAACCACAGAAAGGAUUUCCUAGCAACGAUUAUAAUGCGCGCGCGCACGCACGCACACAAACUCACACAUACGUACACACAAGCUCAACGCGCUGGGGCUCCCUCCAGCUAUCAGCGUGGGCUUCCCCCUCCUUCUCCUCCUCCUCCUCUUCUUCUCCCUCGCUGCAGCUCCGCCGUGGAGGGAAAGAGGGAGAGAAGAGAGAGCGUGCGGGAGAGAGAGAGAGAGAGAGAGAGAGAGAGAGAGAGAGAGAGAGAGAGAGAGAUCCCCUCUUCACAACUCUCUCCUGGAAGCCCCAGCUGCUGGCUAGACUGCGCGGUUACACAGGCUGCCUGCCUGCACACCGGAAUGGCGGUGUGUGGAUGUGGAGAUGGUCCGUUCUGCGCCAAAGCUGCCACGGAGCGAAGAAAUGAACGGAGACGGAAAGACGGGGAGAAAGAGAGAGAGUGUGUGUGUGUGUGUGUGUGUGUGCGCACGCCGCGGCUCGUUUCACGCGAAAGUCGCGGAAGAAACGGGAAACAGCUCCGUGUUUUCGAAGAGUGAGAGACAGUGAGAGGGAAAGGGGGGAUGGGGAAGCUUGGAGAGCCACGGAAGCCCGAGAAGUGCGCUUUUAUUCGGUGCGUAAUGACACGGCGCGUCUCUCCGAUGGCUGUACCGACGUGCUGUUGACGAGAAGAGGAGGGAGGGGGGUUCAACGUGUGAGGUUAUACCGGCGAAUACCGGGGACGGUUUUAUAUCCAGAUACUACAGCCGACAUGGGAGCAGAGGCUACAGUCCCAUUGCGCGUAACACGACGCACAUGGCAUGCCCCCCUGUGCCCCUAGCUCCCUCCUCCUCCACACUGACAGGGAGGCUUUUGCUGCAGGGCGCCAUUUUCAAAAGCCUUCUUUGCAUAUGAGAUUUAUUUUGCUGCAGGAGGGCUGCAGCCGUCCUGCCGUCUCAUGUUACAAAUAUAUCUGCCCAAAAAACAAUAUGGACUGAAGAGGAAGAAAACAGGAAAACUGGACGGAACUUUAAUGUGUCAUCUAUUCUUCUGUUUAAGAUUGUUUUUUAUUGCAAAGCGAGGAGUUUCCGUGUUGGUGAAGUUAAUCCAAAGUGACUGCAGCAGGACGGGCAGCUUUUCUGUGGCAGCACGAUGAGGCGAUAAUAGCAAUAACACCAAUAACAAGACACACACUCACAAGCGGAGAGACACCGGAAUAUUACCGUUACAGCAGGCAGCGAGCAGCGAGCCCGAGCGGUCACUUCUAGUUCUUUAUGUGGUACUUAAAGCUGCACUGAGCCUCAUGGUGCUCCAGAGAGUUUAACAUGUAACAUGCAGCUACACCAAUAAUAAUAAUAAUAAUAAUAAUAAUAAUAAUAAUAAAUUAUGUCUAAAUACAUUUCUAAAUAAAAUUAAUAAUGAAUCAAAUUUUCCAUAUAAUCUCAAUUCUUCAAUUAUUAAAAUAAACAAAUGUGUGUAAUUAAUGUAGGCUAUAUGAAUUGAUAACGUUUUGAUUAAAAAUAAAGUAAUACAAUCUAAACUAUAGACUGUAAAUAAAAAAAUGAGAAUAAAAACAAAACAAAAAAUUUAAAUUACAAACAUUUUUGCUUUAAAAUAAAACUGCUCCAGAGAGAGGCUACUUCAAACAAGCAAUCAAGUAAAUACACAAACAAUCAACGAAAGAUAAAUAAAUAAAUAUGGACAUAAAUAAUUGUGAUUUGUUUAUUUAUUUACUUUUUUCAGUCAGGCAGUGUUAAUGGUUUGUGUUUAAAAAAAAUAUAUUGACUGAAAUAUUCAUUUAUCAGAAUAGAGACUUGACUGCUGUAGGCUGUAUAGUUAUUUGCUGUAUUUUUUAUUUUUUUUUUGUCCUUUGGCUUUAUAUUUGUACGUUUAAAAUAAAAUGUUUAUAAAACA